rnacentral:lncRNA from 1 species
ACACAUUGUACAAUACAUGAUUUUAUUUACAUAACUGAAAUGAUUUUCUUAGUCACCUUGACUACAAAAGCAAAUUGACACGGGAUGGUUUAAUAACCUUUCAUAAAUAGAUUUAACAAAUUUUAAAACAGAUUGUUACUUAAUACUGAGUAACACUUAAAUACUUAGUAACUUCUGUGUAUAUGCAUAUGAAAAUUGUCUGAUAGACUAACAAGUAUGAAUACCUGGAUAAUUCAGGAACAGACAAUUAGGUUAUGAGUCAAGGGUUAACUCCCCACCACUGGGUCAGCC